UUGACCUCAAAUCAGGUAGGACUACCCGCUGAACUUAAGCAUAUCAAUAAGCGGAGGAAAAGAAACUAACAAGGAUUCCCCUAGUAACUGCGAGUGAAGCGGGAAAAGCUCAAAUUUAAAAUCUGGCAGUCUUUGGCUGUCCGAGUUGUAAUCUAGAGAAGUAUUAUCCGCGCUGGACCGUGUACAAGUCUCCUGGAAUGGGGCGUCAUAGAGGGUGAGAAUCCCGUCUUUGACACGGACUGCCAGGGCUUUGUGAUGUGCUCUCAAAGAGUCGAGUUGUUUGGGAAUGCAGCUCAAAAUGGGUGGUAAAUUCCAUCUAAAGCUAAAUAUUGGCGAGAGACCGAUAGCGAACAAGUACCGUGAGGGAAAGAUGAAAAGAACUUUGGAAAGAGAGUUAAACAGUACGUGAAAUUGCUGAAAGGGAAACGCUUGA
rnacentral:rRNA from 1 species